rnacentral:rRNA from 1 species
UACGUAGGGUGCAAGCGUUAUCCGGAAUUAUUGGGCGUAAAGAGCUCGUAGGCGGUUUGUCGCGUCUGCUGUGAAAACUCAGGGCUUAACCCUGAGCUUGCAGUGGGUACGGGCAGACUAGAGUGCGGUAGGGGAGACUGGAAUUCCUGGUGUAGCGGUGAAAUGCGCAGAUAUCAGGAGGAACACCGGUGGCGAAGGCGGUUCUCUGGGCAUUACCUGACGGCUGAGGAGCGAAAGUGUGGGGAGCGAACAGG